GGUAAAAAAGCUGCAGAAUCACUUCGCUGUCUCCCAGACGAGCUCCGCUUUGGAGAACUGAGGAGGCUGAAGGAAGCUUCACACAUUCUCCACUCAAGCAGCAACACCUACUGAGAAACAGACCCCUCCUUGUAGCUGUGAACAAACGAGUAAGAAAAAUUUCUACCUACUGCAGGGGAUCCAUCUCCAAUCUGAUUCAAGUUCUGUUGGCCCACUAUUCCUGGAGAAAGGAAAUCAUCAGAAAGAAGCCUGACAUUCAGAGGACCCACCAAGAAUUACUCCAAAUCCCAACAUGGGUCAGCAGGUGGAUCCUGAGUGGCGCACAGCAGCAUGAGGAUAUGCGCCCUUUAUAUGUGGUGAGGACUCUCACGAGAAAGACUGUACUGAUGCCAUGCUGUAGUCUAUACACACCACAGGGAAAAGAACAGGAUUCCCUCUCCUGUGAGUGCUGAGGGAAACUCCAUGUCACAGGAAGGUGUUGGUGAAGAUAACGCAGGACAGAGACUACAGCAUCCCUCACCUGUGUUAGUCAUUGAUCAUCCAUAAAGAAAAUGUCAGGGGAUUCUCCAGUUUCACAUCCUGGACUGGAAUGACCAGUCAUGAAAAAGGGUCUAUGGAGGAGGUCUAGUCACCUUUAGUGUUCUUAGAAAGCCAGAUGUUCUCAAUUGAUUUGUUGGAUCUAGAGCGAGAGAAUAUUUUUAGCUUAAUUUGGGGGAGAGGUUCUGGUUUUGGUUUGGGUUUCGUUUGCCUGGGUAUUUUUUUUUCUUUACUUUGGUUUAAAUUUUGUUAGUUUUUGAUAAUUUCUUUUUUCUUGUUUUAAUAGUUGGUUAAGGCUCAACACUAUAUAUACUGACUACCCAUCUUAAAGCCCCUAUUGAAUAAAAUGAUUAUAUUUAUGAA